rnacentral:rRNA from 1 species
CCUACGGGAGGCAGCAGUGAGGAAUAUUGGUCAAUGGCCGUAAGGCUGAACCAGCCAAGUUGCGUGAAGGAAGAAGGAUCUAUGGUUUGUAAACUUCUUUUAUAGGGGAAUAAAGGUAUCCACGUGUGGAUAUUUGCAUGUACCCUAUGAAUAAGCAUCGGCUAACUCCGUGCCAGCAGCCGCGGUAAUACGGAGGAUGCGAGCGUUAUCCGGAUUUAUUGGGGUUAAAGGGUGCGCAGGCGGCCUGUUAAGUCAGCGGUAAAAGCCCGGGGCUCAACCCCGGCGAGCCGUUGAAACUGGCGGGCUGGAGUAGGAGAGACGUACGAGUAAUGCGCGGUAGAGGGGUGAAAUGCGUAG